GACUCUGUUCCCUCUCUUCUCCGCGGACCGCUUGCCCUUUGAGAACAGCGAUGGAGAGGCUUCUCGUUGCGAUCCUGCUGUUUUCCGGCAUCAUAUGGUGACAAGCAAAUUCCUCGUUCCGAAGCUGGAGACCCAGUGAGACAUUCAACAGGGACUGUGUGGCAGCGAUGUUUGAUGGAUACUGGUAUUCCUCCGAUUGUAAUCAAUCUAAGAUCUUCUGUUGUGAAACUACAAUGAUUGGUCCUACACCUGAAAAAAAAGCGAAAUCUUCCAUCUUUAAACUCACACUGAGCCGUCACGGGAUCUCAUCGACCCUCAAAUGAAGGCGGACAUUUUAAAGAUGCUUAGUGAGAAGCUGGAGAAGAAGGGGAUAAAGAGAGACACGGUCAAGCUGACAUGGAGACAGCAGCCAGUAGGAGACGUUUUUCUGCUC